UGUUUUGUGGUUUAGUUGGUUAAAGCGCCGGUCUAACGAAAACGGAGUCGUGGGUUCGAAUCCCUCCGGAGCGC
rnacentral:tRNA from 1 species